UGGGGAAUUUUGGACAAUGGGCGAAAGCCUGAUCCAGCAAUGCCGCGUGUGUGAAGAAGGCCUUCGGGUUGUAAAGCACUUUUGUCCGGAAAGAAAUCCUUGGCUCUAAUACAGUCGGGGGAUGACGGUACCGGAAGAAUAAGCACCGGCUAACUACGUGCCAGCAGCCGCGGUAAUACGUAGGGUGCAAGCGUUAAUCGGAAUUACUGGGCGUAAAGCGUGCGCAGGCGGUUUGCUAAGACCGAUGUGAAAUCCCCGGGCUCAACCUGGGAACUGCAUUGGUGACUGGCAGGCUAGAGUAUGGCAGAGGGGGGUUAGAAUUCCACGUGUAGCAGUGAAAUGCGUAGAGAUGUGGAGGAAUACCGAUGGCGAAGGCAGCCCCCUGGGCCAAUACUGACGCUCAUGCACGAAAGGCGUGGGGGAGCAAACAGGAUUCAGAUACCCUGGUAGUCCACGCCCUAAACGAUGUCAACUAGUUGUUGGGGAUUCAUUUCCUUAGUAACGUAGCUAACGCGUGAAGUUGACCGCCUGGGGAGUACGGUCGCAAGAUU
rnacentral:rRNA from 1 species